UGCCAGCCGCCGCGGUAAUACGAGGGGUGCAAGCGUUGUUCGGAAUCAUUGGGCGUAAAGCGGGUGUAGGUGGCCACAUAAGUCAGGAGUGAAAGCCCAGGGCUCAACCUUGGAAGGGCUUCUGAUACUGUGUGGCUUGAGUGUGGGAGAGGGUGCUAGAAUUCCAGGUGUAGUGGUGAAAUACGUAGAGAUCUGGAGGAACACCGGUGGCGAAGGCGGGUGCCUGGCCCAACACUGACACUCAGACCCGAAAGCGUGGGUAGCAAACAGGAUUAGAUA
rnacentral:rRNA from 1 species